GAUGAACGCUGGCGGCGUGCCUAAUACAUGCAAGUCGAGCGAACAGAUGAGGAGCUUGCUCCUCUGACGUUAGCGGCGGACGGGUGAGUAACACGUGGAUAACCUACCUAUAAGACUGGGAUAACUUCGGGAAACCGGAGCUAAUAUCGGAUAAUAUAUUGAACCGCAUGGUUCAAUAGUGAAAGACGGUUUUGCUGUCACUUAUAGAUGGAUCCGCGCCGCAUUAGCUAGUUGGUAAGGUAACGGCUUACCAAGGCAACGAUGCGUAGCCGACCUGAGAGGAUGAUCGGCCACACUGGAACUGAGACACGGUCCAGACUCCUACGGGAGGCAGCAGUAGGGAAUCUUCCGCAAUGGGCGAAAGCCUGACGGAGCAACGCCGCGUGAGUGAUGAAGGUCUUCGGAUCGUAAAGCUCUGUUAGUAGGGAAGAACAAAUGUGUAAGUAACUAUGCACGUCUUGACGGUACCUAAUCAGAAAGCCACGGCUAACUACGUG
rnacentral:rRNA from 1 species